rnacentral:rRNA from 1 species
AUGGCGGCUGUUGCUGCAAAGCCAAACGUUUUGGUGGCUUGUGCCUUGCUGCUCCUCGCUGUGGGAUGCCAGGCCAGCCCUUUCUGGCCACUGGAGAUCGGCUACUACCACGACAAGUGCCCCCAGGCGGAGGCCGUCGUCAAGGGCGUCAUGGAGAAGGCCAUCUCCCAGAACCCCGGCAAUGGCGCCGCCAUGAUCCGCAUGCUCUUCCACGACUGUUUCGUCGAGGGCUGUGACGCUUCCGUCCUCCUGGACCCGACUCGGUUCAGCCCCACGCCGGAGAAACUCAGCCCGCCGAACGACCCUACCCUGCGCGGCUUCAAGCUGAUUGACGCCAUCAAGGACGCCCUCGAGGCAGCCUGCCCAGGCGUCGUCUCCUGUGCGGACAUUGUCGCCUUCGCGGUCCGUGACGCGUCCUGCAUCCUCAGCAGGGGCAAGGUAAACUUCCAGAUGCCGUCCGGCCGCCGCGACGGCACCUUCUCCAACGCAUCCGAGCCUCUCAAGUUCCUGGCGCCGCCGACGUCCAACCUCAGCGACCUCGUCGUUAGCUUCGUCAUCAAGGGCCUCAACACGGAGGACCUGGUCGUCCUCUCCGGCGCGCACACCAUCGGGCGUUCCCACUGCUCGUCCUUCGUCUCCGACCGCCUCAACACCCCCUCCGACAUUAACGGAGGCCUGGCCGCGUUCCUGCAGGGGCAGUGCCCGGCCGACGCGACGCCGGGCGAGACGGCGAGAAUGGUGGUGGAGAACGCCAAAAUCCCCGGGUGGUGGGAGGACAGGUUCGAGAAGGCCAUGGUGAAGAUGGCCGGCAUCGAAGUCAAGACCGGCUACCAGGGCCAGAUCAGGAAGAGCUGCCGCGCAAUCAACCACUACUAA